rnacentral:rRNA from 1 species
UACGUAGGGUGCAAGCGUUAAUCGGAAUUACUGGGCGUAAAGCGUGCGCAGGCGGUUUUGUAAGUCUGUCGUGAAAGCCCCGGGCUCAACCUGGGAAUUGCGAUGGAGACUGCAAGGCUUGAAUCUGGCAGAGGGGGGUAGAAUUCCACGUGUAGCAGUGAAAUGCGUAGAGAUGUGGAGGAACACCGGUGGCGAAGGCAGCCCCCUGGGUCAAGAUUGACGCUCAUGCACGAAAGCGUGGGCAGCAAACAGG